CCUACGGGUGGCUGCAGUGAGGAAUAUUGGUCAAUGGGCGCGAGCCUGAACCAGCCAAGUAGCGUUAAGGAUGACUGCCCUACGGGUUGUAAACUUCUUUUAUCAAGGAAUAAAGUGAGGCAAGUGUGCCUUUUUGUAUGUACUUUAUGAAUAAGGAUCGGCUAACUCCGUGCCAGCAGCCGCGGUAAUACGGAGGAUCCGAGCGUUAUCCGGCGUUAUUGGGUUGAAAGGGAGCGUAGAUGGGUUGUUAAGUCAGUUGUGAAAGUUUGAGGCUCAACCGUAAAAUUGCAAUUUAUACUGGCAGCCUUGAGUACAGUUGAGGUAGGCGGAAUUCGUGGUGUAGCGGUGAAAUGCUUAGAUAUCACGAAGAACUCCGAUUGCGAAGGCAGCCUACUAAACUGCCACUGACAUUGAUGCUCGAAAGUGUGGGUAUCAAACAGGAUUAGAUACCCCGGUAGUC
rnacentral:rRNA from 1 species